AUUUAUUUAGUAUAAUAAGUACAUUUGAUUUCCAAUCAAAAAGUCUAAAUUUUAGAAUAAAUA
rnacentral:tRNA from 1 species